rnacentral:rRNA from 1 species
GACGAACGCUGGCGGCGUGCCUAAUACAUGCAAGUCGAACGCAGUGGGGACGGUUGAGUAACACGUGGGUAACCUCCCAUCAGAGGGGAUAACACUUGGCAACAGGUGCUAAACCGAUACUGAUGGAGGUACCCGCUGGGCAUUAGCUAGUUGGUGAGGUAACGGCUCACCAAGGCCACGAUGCAUAGCUGGCCUGAGAGGGGGAUCGGACACACUGGGACUGAGACACGGCCCAGACUCCUACGGGAGGCAGCAGUAGGGAAUAUUCGGCAAUGGACGAAAGUCUGACCGAGCCAUGCCGCGUGAGUGAAGAAGGUUUUCGGAUCGUAAAACUCUGUUGUUAGGGAAGCGGUAUCUACCCAGAAAGCAACGGCUAACUACGUGCCAGCAGCCGCGGUAAUAC